rnacentral:rRNA from 1 species
GCUUAUGGCCAUACCACCCUGUCUGCGCCCGAUCUCAUCUGAUCGCGGAAGCUAAGAAAGGUCGGGCCUGGCUAGUACUUGGAUGGGAGACUGACUGGGAAUACCAGGUGCUAUAAGCU